GAUGAAGAACGUAGUGAAAUGCGAUACGUAAUGUGAAUUGCAGAAUUCAGUGAAUCAUCGAAUCUUUGAACGCACAUUGCGCCUGCCAGCACUCUGGCAGGCAUGCCUGUUCGAGCGUCAUUUCAACCAUCAAGCCCUAGGCUUGCGUUGGAGCCCUGCGGCUGCCGCAAGCCCCUAAAAGCAGUGGCGGGCUCGCUAUCACACCGAGUGCAGUAGAUUACUCUUCGCUCAGGGCGUGUGGCGGGUUCCAGCCGUGAAACCCCCUACUUCUCAAGGUUGACCUCGGAUCAGGUAGGAAUACCCGCUGAACUUAAGCAUAUCAAUAAGCGGAGGA
rnacentral:misc_RNA from 1 species